CAGGAGGCCUCUGGCUUCCUGGUGCUUUGAAGGGAAGGUUUUCAUCCUUGGUCUCGUUUCCAGGGUCCCAGGGUCAGAGGGUCUGUGUGUUAAGCUUCCUUUAGGUCAGGUGAAAAUGAGCUUUGGUUUACUAGGAGCAACAGGACGAAGGGGCCGGGGCGUUCAGAUGUGGAACUCCUGUUCAGAAGCACGGUGGCUGCAAGGUUGAGAGUACAGAUGCUACAAAAUGGUAUCUGACAUUUGAUUUCACUAGGGUUACAGGGAUGCUCUGUGUUCUGUGGGGAUUGGAGGAAUGGUUUCAUUAUGGGUUUUUUUGUUUAGGUGAUGUUUUCAUCUGUGUAUUUGCUUCCGUUUGUUUGGAUAAAAUGCCCCCGUAACUAUGUGCUACUAAUGUUUGUGUGAAGGAAUAUUAAAAGGUGAUGAUGAGACGUCUCCUCUGGUCUCCUGGUCCUGGUCCUGGUCCUGGUUGUUCUGGUUCAGGUGAACCUACAGUACGGGUUCGUACUCUUUCACUGUGUUUCCCACCGACGGCGUGAGGCGCUGCUACAGCUCAGCCUGGUGUCACAUGACAGCAGACCUGGCCUCCGUCCUGCUGGCGGCGCUUCUUCUCAGUCCUGUCUGGGUUUUGUCGUCAUGUGACUUCCUGUUUUUUCCUGUUGUACUGAUUACUGUGAUCUGCUACACCUGUUCUGUUAGUUUGCCCUCCUCGUGUUGCGUCGGUCUGUUUUAUAAGUUGUAAGCUGUGCGUUAACCCUGUCCCAUGUGUGAGUAGUCAUGUCCAAUGUGUGAUGUUAGUAUUUAAGCAGUAUUCUUUGUUUGUGUGACUCGUUAUUAGUUAGUUUUUGUCCGUGUGUCUUGUUUUAUGACCCACUACACUUCUUGUUCUCUGUAUCAUGGCUCCACUCUCAUCAGUCGGCCUGGCUCUCACUACUGAGCCCAGCAGAUGUUAAUGGUUUUCUGGCGAAGGGAUUUGGUUGAGUGUGUAAAAAGUGAAGGCGAUAGGACGCAGUUGGGCCUGUUCCCUCACUGCUCACACUGAGCGUUGGAUUCGAGGGGGCACGUCUGUCUACAGCUUUGUAACAAGACCCUACUGGCUGUUGGAUCCGGUCCUGGACGUUCGUGCCGCACUAAAAGUAAAUACCAGGCUGCUAAAGAGGCCUUCCUCUCGUUAGCUCGUCACUCUCACGCGCCUCCAGCCUUUAAAAGCCAAGUUCACUGAGUCCAAACCCUCAGUCGGCCUCUGAGGGUCUGGACCACAUGGAUCAGUCUGGAGUCACAGGACUUCUGCCCCGUAAAUUAAAUGAAGAAGCUCAAGUCGACGAAUCAAACAGGAGCAGCAGUAAAAUCCAAACUGAAAAGCUAAGCAGUCAGCAGGACUCCAUCCUUGGACGCCGCUGUCUAUCACACAGCUCCUGAACACCUGAUGACCUAACGACCGAUGGACCGGACCCCUGGAGAUGCCCCCAACCACACACAGCUCCAUGUAGAAGAUGAAACCACUAAACAGAACCACGCUCGCGGCUCCUCAGUGACGUUUUCAUUCAGCAUCGUAGAAAUCUGGAUCCGUGAAGUGGGAUCUAAAUAAGGGCGUUAGCCAUCGGACCCCGGAUCUGUUAUUAAGCUGUAACAAAUGUGACUUCAAGCUGCGACGUGCCUCCAGCCUUUGUUCGCUGCAGCCGAGGCCGAACCUUGGGCUCUGAGCGGCUGUGAAGCAGCACAUUGGCAUCCUGUUACCAAGCCAGUGCAAACAAAGCAGCAUGAAGCAGAAGCUGACGAGGCUCUGAAGGCCGGAUCUUACACAACCCUGAGUCUGCUUCACUUUCCCUGAGUCCUAACAGACGAGCUGAGCUCCGAGCCACCGCCGUUCCCAGCAGCUCUGACUCCUUUCCUCAGAACAUGUUAGGUUUUGCUGUGGGUGAUGAGGAAGAUGAUGACGCCCGUCAGCAGCAUCAUCAUCAUCACCACAGACGUCAGGAGGAAGGCCCGGCACGCCGGCCGACCCGUCAGGCUGAACAAGGCUCCGCCCACGCCGCCGGCCUCGCUGCGGCGACCCCCGAGGGGCGGGCUGGGAAGCCCCACGUCCAGCGAGCGGUUCCCUGACCUCAGGGACGAGAGCGACCUCUGACCCCAACGAUGACCACCUUCAUGGGCCCUAAUGAGAAAUGCAGUGAGAUUUCAACCUGACAUUUCUAUAAAAAGGAACAGUGUGAAUCAAAGUUAUGCUUUAGUAACUGUGAUCGACAUCCAAUAAAAAGGUUCACUCCAGACAAGUUUGAUCCAAUAAAUCAGACUUGUGAC